rnacentral:rRNA from 1 species
UACGAAGGGGGCUAGCGUUGUUCGGAAUUAUUGGGCGUAAAGCGUGCGUAGGCGGUUUCUCAAGUCAGGGGUGAAAGCCCAGAGCUCAACUCUGGAAUUGCCUUUGAGACUGAGUGGCUUGAGUACGAGAGAGGUGAGUGGAAUUCCCAGUGUAGAGGUGAAAUUCGUAGAUAUUGGGAAGAACACCAGUGGCGAAGGCGGCAUCCUGGACCGGCAUUGACGCUGAUGAGCGAAAGCUAGGGGAGCAAACGGG